UUUAAUUAGCAUUUGAAUCCUCUGGAAAUCAUCCUUCUUUUGUGUAUUUCAAGUUGGACAUUCCAAGAUGGAAUCCAUCAAGAUAACUUGUGGAAGCCUGGUCUUACACAUGCGAGCAGAAUUGGAGAUCCAGCUAUUCUUCUGUGCUUAAGGGGUAUUUUACUUUGUUUAGACAUCCUCUGUGGAGCCAGGAGUGCCAAGACAGCACACAGCAUGGGUGAAAAUGACAUGAACAUGUUUGGCAUGAAUUAUGCCCAUG
rnacentral:lncRNA from 12 species